rnacentral:rRNA from 1 species
AGUCGACGAAGUUUCUAGGAAGCUUGCUUCCAAGAGACUUAGUGGCGAACGGGUGAGUAACACGUAGGUAACCUGCCCAUGUGUCCGGGAUAACUGCUGGAAACGGUAGCUAAAACCGGAUAGGUAUACAGAGCGCAUGCUCAGUAUAUUAAAGCGCCCAUCAAGGCGUGAACAUGGAUGGACCUGCGGCGCAUUAGCUAGUUGGUGAGGUAACGGCCCACCAAGGCGAUGAUGCGUAGCCGGCCUGAGAGGGUAAACGGCCACAUUGGGACUGAGACACGGCCCAAACUCCUACGGGAGGCAGCAGUAGGGAAUUUUCGUCAAUGGGGGAAACCCUGAACGAGCAAUGCCGCGUGAGUGAAGAAGGUCUUCGGAUCGUAAAGCUCUGUUGUAAGUGAAGAACGGCUCAUAGAGGAAAUGCUAUGGGAGUGACGGUAGCUUACCAGAAAGCCACGGCUAACUACGUGCCAGCAGCCGCGGUAAUACGUAGGUGGCAAGCGUUAUCCGGAAUCAUUGGGCGUAAAGGGUGCGUAGGUGGCGUACUAAGUCUGUAGUAAAAGGCAAUGGCUCAACCAUUGUAAGCUAUGGAAACUGGUAUGCUGGAGUGCAGAAGAGGGCGAUGGAAUUCCAUGUGUAGCGGUAAAAUGCGUAGAUAUAUGGAGGAACACCAGUGGCGAAGGCGGUCGCCUGGUCUGUAACUGACACUGAGGCACGAAAGCGUGGGGAGCAAAUAGGAUUAGAUACCCUAGUAGUCCACGCCGUAAACGAUGAGAACUAAGUGUUGGAGGAAUUCAGUGCUGCAGUUAACGCAAUAAGUUCUCCGCCUGGGGAGUAUGCAC